rnacentral:rRNA from 1 species
GACGGAGGGUGCAAACGUUGUUCGGAAUUACUGGGCGUAAAGCGCGUGUAGGCGGCCCUGCAAGUCGGGUGUGAAAUCCCACGGCUCAACCGUGGAAGUGCAUUCGAAACUGCAGGGCUAGAGUCCUGGAGAGGAAGGUGGAAUGCUUGGUGUAGAGGUGAAAUUCGUAGAUAUCAAGCGGAACACCGGUGGCGAAGGCGGCCUUCUGGACAGUGACUGACGCUGAGACGCGAAAGCGUGGGGAGCAAACAGG